UUGAAGGGACAAGUCAGAUAUGCC
rnacentral:miRNA from 1 species